UAUAAGUCAUACUUUUCUCAUUUUGAAAAAU
rnacentral:piRNA from 1 species